AUUACCUCCCUCGCCCUACGUAGUCAGGGGAAAUGAUGUUGCACCAGCAGCACCGCUGAUAUUGCGAUGAACAACAUGCAAGACUUCACAAUCACACCGUUACACAGCAUCUGCACGGGUUGGCUUCAUCCCCCAUAGCGUGGUAGCUAUGCGACCAAAACAGCGGAGAAGUUAACCCUCGCGCUUCAACGCUCUUAGUUGUUGCGGAAAUUCACCCACUAUAGUAUGCUUUCACUUUGUACAUCUACAAUAUAAAUACUCUAAACACAAUGAUUGGGUAAUGAAUCCUGGAAAAAUAGUGCAUGUAACCUAAGGUCUGGUACCCGAUCUACAAAGAAUCUCAACGUCCUAGGAAUCUCGUUAAACCUGUUUUACGACAACACCAAACUCCCAGCUCAUAGUAGGUUUAAGGAUGACGUUAAGACACUGCCUAGACAAACUCUGAGCCAAAAUCAAUUUAUAAAAGUUGAUCUCCGCUGGUAAUCACGACAGUUUGAGGUACCGCAAAGGACAGAUAGUGAAGACGCUCAUUGACAUUGUUGCAAAUGAUGGGGAAUAACCAAUCGUAAUGAGGCAUCGCCAGCUGUUAACUCUACAGCACGCUUCAGACAAGGACAGUGAAUGUGACUGUACAUCAAAUGUUGUAAUGACCGACUAGAAACAGGAGACAGAAAAGGAGUGAAACUGGGACAAGCAGAAGCGGAAAUUGGACCCACCACUUCUGGGGCAGUAAGAUGGGAUCCAGGCUACCCGUCAUCAUACGCACCUGUUACCAUCAUUACGCGCAGCUGCGCUCAUUGGACUCACCUGGAAUCCCUCACUUUGUUGAUUGCCCCUGCAUAUAUGUCUGCUCCUCUGUGUUGAUCCCUGUAGUAGCAUUGUUUGACGUGUCGCGUUUAUGUCUAGACGCUGUGCCUGUUCCGUUGCAUGUCCGUCUGUAUUAAAUGGUUCACUCCCUGUACCUGCUUAUCAUCUCCAGCGUUGGGCCUUACACUAAUUGGAAGUAUGGUUUUAAACUCCUUGUACUUCCUUUCUGGCCAUGUGGUUCUGUUUUUAGAGGAUUGUGGGUAAUUCAAAAAUGUUUAGACUUUAUGUUUGCAUGUUUGAAUAAAUAAAAAUGUAUGAGUAUUAAGCA